rnacentral:rRNA from 1 species
GGGGAAUAUUGCACAAUGGGCGAAAGCCUGAUGCAGCAACGCCGCGUGAAGGAAGAAGGGUUUCGGCUCGUAAACUUCUAUCAAUGGGGAAGAAACAAAUGACGGUACCCAAAUAAGAAGCCCCGGCUAACUACGUGCCAGCAGCCGCGGUAAUACGUAGGGGGCAAGCGUUAUCCGGAAUUACUGGGUGUAAAGGGAGCGUAGGCGGUAUGAUAAGCCAGAUGUGAAAGCCCGAAGCUUAACUUCGUGGAUUGCAUUUGGAACUAUCAAACUAGAGUACAGGAGAGGUAAGUGGAAUUCCUAGUGUAGCGGUGAAAUGCGUAGAUAUUAGGAAGAACACCAGUGGCGAAGGCGACUUACUGGACUGAAACUGACGCUGAGGCUCGAAAGCGUGGGGAGCGAAC